rnacentral:rRNA from 1 species
AUGGGUAGCAACACCCAUGACAGGAGCUCGCAACACCGACGACGCUUCAUUGCAACCUUGCCGGAGCUUCAACGACCCCCGCGGCGCUUCACUGCAACCUCGGCGAUGUUUUGUUGCAGCUCUAACACUGUCGCAGUAGUGCUCCGUCGCAGCACACCAAUGCCGUCGCCAACCUUCACUGCAACGUCACCACCGCGCGGCUGCCACAUCAAAGCUCCACCGCAGCACCCAAUGGCCGUCGGUGAAGCUUCACUACAGCGCAGUGUGACACCGACGGGGUUCUGCAAUGAAGCACGCGGCGGUGAUGAAGGAAGCUUUGACACAGCACGACGGCGCGUACAGAUGCUGUGA